rnacentral:rRNA from 1 species
UACGUAGGUCCCGAGCGUUGUCCGGAUUUAUUGGGCGUAAAGCGAGCGCAGGUGGUUUAUUAAGUCUGGUGUAAAAGGCAGUGGCUCAACCAUUGUAUGCAUUGGAAACUGGUAGACUUGAGUGCAGGAGAGGAGAGUGGAAUUCCAUGUGUAGCGGUGAAAUGCGUAGAUAUAUGGAGGAACAUCGGUGGCGAAGGCGGCUUUCUGGACUGUAACUGACACUGAGGUACGAAAGCGUGGGGAGCAAACAGG